GAGAAGGAGAUGAAGUGGGAGGUAAGGAGAAGGAGAAAAUGGGGUAUGAAGAGACAGAGCUGAGGCUAGGGUUGCCUGGUGAUGGUGAGGUUGUAAGGAAGAGAGACUUCUCCCACACUGUUGAUUUGAAGCUUAACCUAAUUUCCACCUCUCCAACUGAUGACAAGGACAAAAAUAUUGUCCCUUCUCACCUUGAUCCUGCUAAGCCUCCACCUGCCAAGUAUGUUCUUCCUUUUUCUGUAAAUGAAAUAGUAUUGUUUGGCUUUUGCUUUGUAGUUUGUAUUUGCUGGGAAAUAUAGUUAUAGGAUGAUUAGGGUUAUUACAUGAUUACAUAGAGAGAAACAAAAGAGUAUUUUCCCCCACACUAACUUUUUUAGUUAGUUAUGUGUAUAGUUUCAUUGUGAAGUUAGACAUUUUAAAUUUUCAUUUUGAAAUGAUGAGGUGUGGUGGAGUACAUAAAAGGAUAAAAACAAGGAGGACCGCAUUAAAGUUAUUAUUAUCUAUUGAGUUCUCAUGGAAUAUUAUGUAUUUAAUAGAAAUAUGGAAUUACACUAACAGUACAUUCAACUUUUGCUCAGCAAAACAACUCUUCAUUUCUAGCUAGCUUCUAUUUCUUGCAAACUAUUUAGAGUUGAAUGUUGAAAGCAUGCAGAUCCAUAUUAAACCUCCAAUCUUAUAAUUUAUAUACAAAUGAUAUAUAUAUAACAAACACUGAGGAUUACACCUCCAUCUAAUAGUAUUGAUGAUAUAUACAUAUAUAAACUCAAAACCAAAGUUUAAUUUCAUUCAAAAUAUACACGUAGAGAAGGUGACCAAUGUAUUAAGGUUUAUCUUAAUUUUUCAUUAAUUACUCAUCACAGAAAUAAAAUUUACCCUCACUAUUUUCCUAGCCCCAAUUUUGAAACUGAAUAGUGAAUAUAAACAGUUUAAUUAAUUAAAAAUCAUGUAUAUUUAAUAUAUAUUAUUAUAUAUAGGGCUCAAGUUGUGGGAUGGCCACCAGUCCGGUCAUUCCGAAAGAACAUGUUAGCGACCCAAAAGAGCAGCGGCAGCGAGGACAGUGGUGAGAAGGCCGCCUUUGUGAAGGUUAGCAUGGACGGCGCACCCUAUCUCCGGAAAGUGGACCUGAGGAUGUACAAAACUUACCA
rnacentral:lncRNA from 1 species